GACGAACGCUGGCGGCGUGCUUAACACAUGCAAGUCGAACGGAAAGGCCCUGCUUUUGUGGGGUGCUCGAGUGGCGAACGGGUGAGUAACACGUGAGUAACCUGCCCUUGACUUUGGGAUAACUUCAGGAAACUGGGGCUAAUACCGGAUAGGAGCUCCUGCUGCAUGGUGGGGGUUGGAAAGUUUCGGCGGUUGGGGAUGGACUCGCGGCUUAUCAGCUUGUUGGUGGGGUAGUGGCUUACCAAGGCUUUGACGGGUAGCCGGCCUGAGAGGGUGACCGGCGAAAGUGGGACUGAGAGAAGGGCCAGACUACUACGGGAGGCAGCAGUGGGGAAGAUUGAACAAUGGGCGGAAGACUGAUGCAGCAACGCCGUGUGCGGGAUGAGGGCCUUCGGGUUGUAAAACGCUUUCGCCUGUGACGAAGUGUGAGUGACGGUAAUGGGUAAAGAAGCACCGGCUAGCUAAGUG
rnacentral:rRNA from 1 species